GGUUGCAUAGUCUAGUGGUUAUGAUAUCUGCUUUACAUUGCUCGCGCAGUUCGCAGAGGGUCUCAGGUUCGAUCCCUGAUGCAGCCA